rnacentral:rRNA from 1 species
AACGAACGCUGGCGGCAUGCCUAACACAUGCAAGUCGAACGAGACCUUCGGGUCUAGUGGCGCACGGGUGCGUAACACGUGGGAAUCUGCCCUUGGGUUCGGAAUAACUUCGGGAAACUGAAGCUAAUACCGGAUGAUGACGUAAGUCCAAAGAUUUAUCGCCCAAGGAUGAGCCCGCGUAGGAUUAGCUAGUUGGUGAGGUAAAGGCUCACCAAGGCGACGAUCCUUAGCUGGUCUGAGAGGAUGAUCAGCCACACUGGGACUGAGACACGGCCCAGACUCCUACGGGAGGCAGCAGUGGGGAAUAUUGGACAAUGGGCGAAAGCCUGAUCCAGCAAUGCCGCGUGAGUGAUGAAGGCCUAGGUUGUAAGCUCUUUGCCCGGGAUGAUAAUGACAGUAUCGGGAGAAUAAGACUCCGGCUAACUCCGUGCCAGCAGCCGCGGUAAAGUGACUACU